CUGAGAGGUUGCUUUGAAUUAGCAGGGAACCUAUGGCAUCAAGAUGUAGGCUGUGCUAGUUGUAAAGGUUCUGCUUGGGCCAGGACUGUACCUGUCCUUUAGCAGUCUGCGCCUUGACUGCAGCCUGUAACUACAACAUCCAUUUCUGAAGCAGCAGUGAGCCUCCAACAUGAAUGGAUGCUCCUUCUGGAAGGGAGCAUGCCGUGUGGGUGGCCCCCCAUGCCUGUCUGCAGCCCUGCAGCUCCUUGCCUCUUCCCAGGCCUCAAGAGGCCCCAUGGCUAAAGCAGCUUGCAAGAGGAGGAUCUCAACUCUAGGUGGUUCAGG
rnacentral:lncRNA from 1 species